ensembl:lncRNA
GAUACCUCUAACCACAGACAAGCCGCGAAACACUGCUCUAUACUACCGAGUGCCUUUAGUGACCCACAGCACAGCUAAGACGUCCAGGAACCAUCUACAGAUUCUUCCCAGGGUGGGGAUUGAGGGGCUCUCGAUCCAGUGGGGUCCGAUCUGCCCGUCUCCACCUUUCGGAAUCUCGAGGGGAAAUGAGGCUUCCCUUCGACUUCUGAGCUCAGCCGGACCCCACCCGGGGCCCCAGGGGACGCCUGCUCAGAGAUGGAGUGAUUAGGAAGCAGGGGGCGCAGACAGCCACCCCGAGGUACCAGAGAAGUAUAGGGAGUCGGGCCAGGCUCACCGGGCUGCCCAAGGGGGUGGGCGCCUGGAGCUAGUCGGCGGCAGGGCUGGGGUGCGGGGAGGGGCGACACUUACCCGGAGGCUGCCGAGCAGGAGGCGGCGGUCGGCCGGGGCGGCUGCAGUAAUCCAUUAGGCGCUGCCGGGCUACGCGCACUGGGGGCGGCAGGGAUCCGCUCAUGUUGGAGAAGGAGUCGCCUCGGAACCGCGCGGCUGCAGUCACCCGGAGCAGGCCGGCUGCUCCUGGCGGGCGGUGUCCGCGCCGGCGGGGGCCUCGGCGCCCAGGGCUCCUUCCGGGCUCUCCCGCCCGCCGGGCUCCCCACCGGCUCCGGAGGCGGCAGCGGCGCGGCCCGAGCUAAGCGGCGAUGGGGCCACGUUGGGCGCCGGGCGGGAGCGGAGGCCGCCGCGGACCCCGCAAUCCCGCAGCCGGCGACUGGAUCCCACCUCUGCAGAGACAAAGAAUGUUUGCCCAUGGAAAAGUCUGCUCAAUGCAACACUGAAGAGGAGAGGGGCUCCAUUUGUUCGGGAAAAGAGCGGACCCUCAGUUUCAGCCCUGGGAAAAAAAUAGUCCUUUUUCUUCAAAGGCAGGAGUCACAUUCCCUUUGCACUUCUGAUAGGAGCUACGCCAGAGAACACCAGCUGAAAGUAAAUGUCCUUGAGGGCCCCAGCAUUCUCCUCAUCAUUAAUGCAUGGGCAUGAUCAUCCAGGCUUCAGAACCUGCCUGAAAGAGAUGCCGGAAGAAUCAGCAAACACCAGGGAAGCAGAGGACACAAGCUUGGAUGUGAAAUAGCAACAUCUUACGCAUUGAAGAAUAAUAAAACAAUGUUUUUAAUUACAAAAGAAAAUGUGUAAGAAUAUGUGGGGCAAAUUUGGGGGCCCUUCCAAGCUAGAAUACUUUACACUGAUCUGUACGUAUGGAGCUGAACAGAGAUUGCUCAC